UACAUCAGAUGUUGGGUAUGUUUGCUGCAAAUCUAUUGGUUAUAAGAUAUAACAGCCUUUUCUAAUUGGCUGAAUUCAAAUACAGAAAGUUUACCUGUUAGAUUGAAACAUGAAACAUGGUGGACAAUGUACUGGUUUAACUUGUUAAAAUAAAGUUAAAGACAUUUAACAAACAGAAGAGUUCAUUAGUUUUUCCAUUAAAAACACUUUCUUAAAAUACUUAUGUAUUUAUAUCAUUUGGAAAGUGACAUGAAAUAUUGCUAAAGAGUGAUGCAUACAGUGUUUGAGCAGUCUGUCUAGGAAUAGAACAACAACUGAAGUUGAUGGAAGAUACUGCAGAGUUUGGCAGGGAAAUAAUCCAACAGCAAAGCGGCUCUUUAAGCGCAUUUACCUAGAGGACUUACAGGGCCACAAAUUCAUGAGCACAUGUGAGCAGUAUACAAUGUACCUCAUACCAAAAAGGACCCGGAGGCAGUGACUGGUGUUCAAUAUUCUCAGAAGAAAAGGAAAAUGGCAGUGGAAGACUUGGACAAACAUUUUUAAAAACUAGCCUCUGUGUUAAGCCUGGCAGUCUGUGGCUGGUGACAUGUUUUAUUUUGGUUACUUCUUGUAUAAAAAAGACCAGUUAUUUAUUUUGUGAAUUGUA